CCAAAUUGCAAGGAAUAGACUUUCAAAGAGUUUUCUAGUCCAGAGAUACUAAGUAAUAUAUAAAAGUUUGAUAUUUUUAAAGAAUAGUUUAUAUUAUCACUAUUAAAUAGGGAUGGCGAGGAUAAUAUAUAAUUAUUUGAAGUUGUUUUGAAGUAGUUACAAGUAGUUGUAUAUGGUUAUGUCUGGUUAUGGUGUAAUUAUAGUAUUCAUCUAUCUCAAGCGAAAUAGUGCAUAUGAGAAUUUAAGCUUGAAUUUGUUCUAUUAAUUCUCAAAUUUGGCUUUCUGCUGGUGACAUCCCCCACCCCCACCCAAACCACUGACAAGUAGAUUCUAAUAUCUGGAUCUCUGGUGAGUUGAAGAAAGGACAAGCCAAGAAUCACUAGUUUAGAUGGAUAUCCAGAUCACCUAUCCUAGCCCUCUUCUCAGAAAUAUUGCUAUUGUGUAACUGAUAAUUGUUACAAAACACUGGCCUGUGAGUUAGGUUGGAAGAUAAGUUUAGCCUUACAGAGAAUCUUGAGGAGAGUCAGAGAGAGAAAUAGGAGCAGGUCCACUGAGAAGUAAUCAGGGAAGGGUAUUCUCACCCACUGAUGCAAGUGUCUGGUCUCUUUGGUAGUAAAUAACAAAUGGGGAGGCCAUUUCACUUUAUCUGUUUACAGGAAGGUAUUUAUUAGCCAAUUCUCUAUGUGUCUCAUGUUUCUGUAUGUCUUCUGAGCAGAGAUACUGACUGCCUUUUUUUCUGGAAUAUUUUUCAAGGUUAUUUGUAUAAUAGAGAAAAUAGAGAAGAUAUAAUGUCUCUCUCCAGAACAAAGGGCAGGUUUGCUUAGAGCUUUGAAAGAUCAAGGCUGUCUCCUUCUGAAGGGGUGCUAUAAAAGAUUUGGGUUUCUUAUGCUUAGGCUUCCUCUCCUGUAAUACACCCCUCUGCAUGUACAGGUAUCACCUGGCCCUCUUCACAUUGUCCUAUGGGAUGGGAGCUUGGGAACCAGAACAAAAAAAUGAUACUUUGACCAUUUCUGUGAGUAAUUAAGUCCUUUGUGUCUUCUGCUAGCACCCACAGAACUGGGUCAGACUAACUUAUUGGCCUGCAAGGAAGGUAGAGUCUCAGACCCUUCACAGUUCUUGACCAUUUUGGUGGUGAGGAUGUGGUGAAGAAGAGACAAGUCUUCAUGAAGAAGAAGCUCCUUGAAGAGGAAGGAUAAUGACCCCACAGGCCAGAUUCAGAGGGACACCAUGUAUGACCUCUGGACUAUUUCUUGUGUGGAAGCCAGGAGUUAACUUGUCUCUCCUGAAAACACCCUUCCGGCAGUCCUAAGAGACCUGCAAGUGCUUAUAAGCACUACUGACAAAGCACAUGACCCUCAGCUGACUGCAGAAAUCUCUCCAAAAUGAAGCUCUCCAGAAAAGAGAAUUGAGGUACAGAGAGUUGUUUGGCUGUGGGACCAGGAGCUGAAAGCCGAGGUACAGAGAGAGGACAGUCUGCAGAUACCACACGGCCUCAAAGCCUUGAGUAAGCUGAAGUCAAGAGGUAGAGGAAAGAUGUGUUUCCUCAGAUACUACGACAGGUGACAAAUGUCCCAACUUCCUCAGGAGUGUUGGACCACCUCUAUGGGUUGUGCAAGGAAACCGUGGAACUGGUGUGGCCAGCAUUCGUCCCUCAUGUGCUCCAGAGCUGGCAGAAUGAAGCAAGAAGGCAAUGAUGGAGGAGCUGGACUCCCACUGGUGGAGGAACUAAGGUGUAAACAGGGGAAUAUCUUGCAUUUACAGUGUCCCAAUAUCUCAUCUAUUUAAUUAUACUGGAUUCUUAUGAAGAGAUGAAUUCAUUUUCGACAGAAAGGGAAUUUUGCUCAACAUCAUCUCCCCCACCUGGGCUUCAGCUUCUUCAGUAUUUGUGCUUCUGUUUCCAGCCAAAUGCCCAUUCUCUUUACAGAAGAGGAAGAAGCAAAACAGAAGAUUCCUAGAUCAAAAUCUGUCAUAGACGCGUGAAGAGAUGUAAGAAUGAGAAGGGAGACGUGUACAAGGAACCGACCCGCUGCCCAAAAGGAAGACGGGAAAGAGGUGCACACGACGCGGGUGCUGUCAUGUCUGGAGAGGAUAUCUGGAAAUGCUGAAGCCAUCUUGCCAUCAGCCUGAGAAUGAAGCCAAUGACUGAGGAUGGCAGAACAGAAAAACGAUCAUGUUGUGGAAUCACCUGCCCUAAAGAGAAAACCACAGCCAUCCAGACCUAAGGAGGUGGAGGAGAAGGAAGGACCUACAGAGGAGGCAGAGCACAGACCUCCUUUCCUCAGCUUCCCUUCACUAAGGAAAUGGUCCUGGCUUCACCAUUGGCUUCUUCCCUUUUUACCAGGUCAUAAUGAUGAUCUUGAAGUCCAACCAUCUUGCCACAAAUGACAGAACUUAGUCUUAAUUGCUGCACGUAACUGUUACAGAGGCUGGGAAAUGUAGUCGUAACUAAGCUGUAUGCCCAGCUAAACCUCACAAAAUUUACUCCUGAAGGAAGAAGACAGGGGCGAAUUUGGAUGGAUCUCAACCAUCAAGAGGAAACUGUACCAUCGCACUCAGCCAUGUGGCAAACACAGCCUGUGAAGGUGUAUUAACAUCACCUGUUUAUGAAGCAUCUGGUAGGUCCACGUCUCUGAACCAGGAUACAGCACAGGAGGGAAAAGAUGUGGUUCUUGUCCUCGAGGACUCCUGGGUCAAAGAGGGUUCCAGUGCCAGAGGGCCCCUAAAAUUGUGUCAGCUUCAGACUCAAUAAAACCUGGAUGUACUCCUGGCCCCAGCACACGAAGAGGAGUCACACCCCUGUCAGUGACAGAGGGUGAUAAGGGAGGCCUUUUUGAAGAAAUAACAUGGAGGAAGUGAUAAGAAGCUGCCCUCAUGAAGGGUAGGAAAAAAAGUGUAUUCCAAGGUGAAGAUAACACAUAUGCAGCGUGACUGAGGUAGGAAAGAGCUUGGCUUGUUUCAAGAACUGAAAAAAAAAAAUGUGGUGUGGCUGGAUCACAAUGGGUGAAGCAGACAAGGCACAAUGAACUGGUCACUGGGGCUUCCUGGGCCACAAUAAUGAGUUUGGAUUUUAUUUUAAGUGCAGGGGUUUCACAAAGCAGAGUGACACCAUCUUAUUUAAGUCUAAAGAAGAUUGCUCUAGCUUCUGUGUAGAGAAUGGGUUGAUGUGGGGCAAGUGUAAAAGCGGGGAGACCUGAGAGAGAGAAGGCUGUUACGGUGAUCCACGUGGGAGAUGAUGGUGGUCUGGACCGGUGGUGGCCAUGGAGACAGGGAGAGGAGGAGAGGUUGGAGUGACAACUUGGCAGUCGAACUGAAAGGCGUUGUCAGUGAAUUCCGUGUAGGAACUGAGAGUACGCAGGCAUAGCAGCCAGUGUCCUGAUGGGAAAACAGACAUCAUUUUAGGUAUUUCAAAUGGAGGGAAUUUAACCUAAGUAAUCAGUCACAAAAGUGUUGGAAAGGUUGGAGGAAGGAAAAGGGGAAGAGGUGAUAACCUAGGAAUAAGAAUCUGCUGGGAGUCAGGACCACUCCUAAGGCUGGAGGAAACUAGGGAGGUGGAGAUGUUAUCAGAGCCCAAGAGUCUGGCAUCUGCCUGCAGGAAGCUGCUGCUGCUGCUGCUGCUGCUGCUGCUGCUGCGGACACUGGCCACACCCCUAACUGUGGACGCUGUUGCUGCAACCGCUGAAGGCGACUGGAACCCACAGCUGCUGGCUGCUGCCACAGCCACUGUCAGGAGCUUAAAAAAAAAAAAAAAGAAAAGAAAAAGAGGGGGUCUCGCCCUCGUUUCAUCCAGUUUUCCACCAGAGCUUCCCACUGGCAGCAUUUAACUGGGCCAGCUGGCAAGGGAGUCUGGGAAAUGCAAUUCACAGGAUUCCAGCCACCUCCAACAGAGCAGUGCCUAGAAUGGCAGGGGUGGUACUCAGCACCAGCAAGCCAGCGACCAGCACACGGAAGAACUGAAAAUUUGUUCUAAGAGAAGAAACAGACAGUAGAAUUUCAGAGCUGGAAAUGUGCAGCCUGGAAAUGGAAAGAAGCUUUAGCUACAGAAUAUACUAGACCAUCCCGCUGCCCCGUCUGCCUGGUCUCCAUGGAGUCACGAAGGAACUGGUCCUCUGGAGUGUGCAGAAGAGGUGACAUCUUUAAGAGUAGACACAAUUUACCAUGGCUACAGCUCCAUUUAAGUUAAAUGCACAUCCUGUGUCCUGAGGGGUGAGCCACGCAACCCAGUGGACUGAUGUGUGGAUCAUUACCAAGGAUUACUAUCAACAGAUGGUACAUCACUGCAUAUAUGUGGGAUUCCUGGAAACGCUCAGCCAUAAUUGGAAUGGAGCAAGGAGCAAAUCCUAAUUUGUAGUUUGGACGGUUACUCUUCAUGUAGUCAACUGCAUAACUUAUGAUGAGCAGUCCUUGAGCUUUCACUUGAGGCCUCCUGCUCCCAGAACUCAACAUCCAUCAUGGCUAGAGAGGGAGGCAAAGUCAAGAGACAAGUACCCUGCAGAAUGCCUACCUGCCUCCUUCACUGGCCCCUUCAGUUUUGUUCUGGGCCAGGCUGCUCUGCCAGACAGUGUCCCAGUGAAAUUUCUCUGGAGAGGAUCCUCAGUCCUUCAUGCAAAUAGACCCUUCCUGAAGGCUUUCCGACAAGUCCAGACAUGCCCGAAUCCCAUUUGGAGGUUGCCAAGACUCAAGGUCAGACACCAGGUUCCUAGUAACUAUUAGCCACCUACUAUGUGCUAGGUGCUAGGGAUCCAAAGAUGAUGGGCUCCUGUCAUCCAGGGGCUGCUGUGUAAAUUCAGCCUCUUUGAGGCUGGCCAAUCAAGCCGUUACCCAGUUGGCACAACUCCUGCUGAAAGGUUAUAUCAAGGGUGCGGACUUAUCACCAUCUUAGCAGAAAUCCUCCUCUCUGUAUAACUAGGAGUUUUACCAAGGUUCUCAUUGAUGGCUCCUCCUGAGCAUUCUUCAGGUUCUUACCUGACC